UACGGGGGGGCAAGCGUUGUUCGGAAUUACUGGGCGUAAAGGGCUCGUAGGCGGCCAACUAAGUCAGACGUGAAAUCCCCAGGCUCAACCUGGGAACUGCGUCUGAUACUGGAUGGCUUGAAUCCGGGAGAGGGAUGCAGAAUUCCAGGUGUAGCGGUGAAAUGCGUAGAUAUCGGGAGGAACACCAGUAGCGAAGGCGGCACUCUGGGCCGGUACUGACGCUGAGGAGCGAAAGCGUGGGGAGCAACAGG
rnacentral:rRNA from 1 species